UGCGAACCCGUCCCUAUAGUUUUGGUUAUCUUCAUUUAUUUCUUGGUCCUUCAAGGUCUAAAUUAUACUUUCUUCACCUACAAAAAACUCAGAUAUUUUAUUGUAUUCGCGUCACACAUAAACCCUGAAAAAACCCUAAUUUCAGCAAAAAUAAAAAGAAUUCCCUAUUUUCUAUCACCAUCCCCAAUUCCUCCACCCCUUCUUCAUUCUCGGUCGAAGAACGCUAGAAGCUCUUCAAUGGCGGAGCAGGACCACCUUCCGUUCCCGAAACUUUCCUCUACGAAACCCUUAGUCCCAUCUCUUUCUCCGCCGCCACCGCCGACGACGACAACAACAACGAGUCCUACUCUGUCUUCCGCAAUGAGAUAUCCCUCUCUGAAAUUCCAUCCACCGCUCCAGGUUCCGCUGCUAUCGAUUUCUUCUCUCUCGACAUUGCCAAAGAGACUUCUGAUCGGGACUCUCUCCCGCCGAUCGUCGUGGCGAAGGAGCCCAAGACGCCAGCACUUGCACCCGAGCCAAAGCUCGAGAGCAGUUGGUUUCGCGGAAAUUGCAAGUUCAGGAGCCCCAUGCUUCAACUGCAUAAAGAGAUAGUGGAUUUUUGUGAGUUUUUGUCUUCAACAUCUGAAGAGAAAGCUGCACGGGACACGACAAUAGAAUCUGUGUUUGAUGUUAUAAAGCACAUAUGACCCCAUUGCCAGGUAGAAGUCUUUGGAUCUUAUAGGACUGGGCUGUAUCUUCCGACUAUUGAUAUUGAUAUUGAUGUUGUGAUUUUGAAGUCAGGCUUGCCAAAUACACAGCUUAGCUUGAAUGCACUUUCUAGAGCAUUGUCACAAAGGAGCAUGGCUAAAAAUAUUUUAAAUAGAUUGCUCGUUAAAAAUAUUUUUUUAAGAAAAAUAUAUUUAUAGAUAUUGAGAUUAAAUUAUAUUUUAUAAGUGAUUUUUUUAAUAUUUAAAAAAAUAUCUUUUAAAUGAUAUCAUAAUUAUAUUUUUUAUUUUAUUAUAAAAAGUAAAAAAAGUGUAGUGUAUUUUAUGAAGGGAAAUUAUAGCGUACAGAGGUAAUGUUAUACAGAUUUGAAGAGAUUCUGUGUUGUUAAAGGUUGUCGUGACAAGUGGCGUGUUGAUAGUUGUAGAGGAGCAGCUCGGCAGAGGUGUUUCAGGCGUUGUCGGGGCUAGGAGUUCUUGGAGCCGCGCUAAGUGGUCAUAAGGAGGGAAGCCCGUAACGGGCCUUGGAUGUGGGUUCCGUAACCGUUAUUGUAUAGAAAAUGGACUAUGGAGGAAACAAGUUGGACCAAGUGUGUAUAGAUUGUUAGUGGGUUUAAGGAGUUAGAGUUUCAUGUGCCCAAAAAAAAAAAAGGAAAUGAGAGUUUCAGGAUUGUUAAAACAGGGAAAAAAAAAGUGUCAAGAAUGGUAAGAUUUGGCUUGAUUUAAAUGUCUUCUUCUUCUCGUAAUUUUUGCAACAAAAAUUUAUGUAGACUUAAUUAGAUACAAAUUAAUAAUGAGCAUGUAAAAAAAUAAAGAAUAAAAUAGCAUAAAUUAAGUAUAUUUAAAAAUCAAUACAUUUUAUACCUAAAAAAAAUCAACACAUUGUUGCUGGAUGUGAUAAAAUGAAGAUGAAAUUUUACAUAGUCAUAGAUAAAUGUUAUUACUUUUGUUUAUUUUAUAAAUCGUAUUUAAUUCGAAGGCAGUAUGAAAAAAAGAUAAACCGAGAACUUGUUAUGACUAUGACUAAUUUUGAUAUAUGAAAAAUUAUCCCUUUAGAUUUUAUAUUUACGAAAUUAAGCUAUAUUUUCAUUAAUUUUGUAAAUUUAUUAAUGUUUAUGUUUGUUAUAUCUUAUGUUAGGUAAUGUUUGACUUUUUAUGUUAUCAUUCGUUCAAACACAAGUUUUAUAUAUCUAGAAAUUAAUGUAUUUAUUUAUGAAUUUGGAUUAUCUAAAUUUUGAAUUUUUACUCUAGAAGAUAAAGUGUGAUCUCUCACCCUUGAAUGAUUUCUCUCUCGUAUUUUUUCUUAGUCCCACUUAUAAAA